rnacentral:rRNA from 1 species
UGCAAGUCGAGCGGAUCUUCAUUAGCUUGCUUUUGAAGAUCAGCGGCGGACGGGUGAGUAACACGUGGGCAACCUGCCUGUAAGACUGGGAUAACUUCGGGAAACCGGAGCUAAUACCGGAUAAUCCUUUCCCUCACAUGAGGGAAAGCUGAAAGACGGUUUCGGCUGUCACUUACAGAUGGGCCCGCGGCGCAUUAGCUAGUUGGUGAGGUAAUGGCUCACCAAGGCAACGAUGCGUAGCCGACCUGAGAGGGUGAUCGGCCACACUGGGACUGAGACACGGCCCAGACUCCUACGGGAGGCAGCAGUAGGGAAUCUUCCGCAAUGGACGAAAGUCUGACGGAGCAACGCCGCGUGAACGAUGAAGGCUUUCGGGUCGUAAAGUUCUGUUGUCAGGGAAGAACAAGUACCGGAGUAACUGCCGGUACCUUGACGGUACCUGACCAGAAAGCCACGGCUAACUACGUGCCAGCAGCCGCGGUAAUACGUAGGUGGCAAGCGUUGUCCGGAAUUAUUGGGCGUAAAGCGCGCGCAGGCGGUUCCUUAAGUCUGAUGUGAAAGCCCCCGGCUCAACCGGGGAGGGUCAUUGGAAACUGGGGAACUUGAGUGCAGAAGAGGAGAGCGGAAUUCCACGUGUAGCGGUGAAAUGCGUAGAGAUGUGGAGGAACACCAGUGGCGAAGGCGGCUCUCUGGUCUGUAACUGACGCUGAGGCGCGAAAGCGUGGGGAGCGAACAGGAUUAGAUACCCUGGUAGUCCACGCCGUAAACGAUGAGUGCUAAGUGUUAGAGGGUUUCCGCCCUUUAGUGCUGCAGCAAACGCAUUAAGCACUCCGCCUGGGGAGUACGGCCGCAAGGCUGAAACUCAAAGGAAUUGACGGGGGCCCGCACAAGCGGUGGAGCAUGUGGUUUAAUUCGAAGCAACGCGAAGAACCUUACCAGGUCUUGACAUCCUCUGACAACCCUAGAGAUAGGGCGUU